ensembl:lncRNA
CGCGCUAUGAAGACUAUAAAGGUAUGUCUUAACUAAAGGUAUACCCGUUCAAGGUGUACCUUAGGAGGUUGCUUAAGUUAUACCACCUUACGUGCAACGUUACCAGUUGCUGUCCUUUGUGGUGGUGUUGAAUUGGUUGAUAUUGAUGCCUUAAGAAUCGAUUAUUCAUUCCAUGCUUGGGCUACUUCACUGCGUUAUGUGAGAAAGUGGUGUUCUUUAUAAAAGAAGUGUUGAGUUUAAAAAAAGACAUGUAACUCUUUCCUGUUAGAAUGCAACUAACUUGCGUGAAACUUUGACUUUCGCUUUGCAACAUACCUCACAUCACAUCAUAUAACCAAGAAAGAAAAAUAUACGCCCAGAGCACCUCCCAGUGAUCACCACAUAAAAUACAAGGAAAAAACCUACAGGAAACACUGCUUAAUAAUUUUAAAAACAGCUUUUAACAGAAGAGAAAGAAGAAGAAGAAGAAGAAGAAGAAGAAGAAGAAGAAGAAGAAGAAGAAAAACACCUUGGUCCUACACAAGUCCAACAGAAAAACAUUCAGGUUUCCGAAGAGCGUAUUUGAAGCCUUAAGUAGGCGGAACCGACUGUCGACAUCUUGGCAAUACAUCAACACGCGUCACUCCCGGAUAAUUGAAAAUGGGCAAAAAGGCGGGAGCAGGUUGCUGCAACCACGCCCACCUAUCUAGACAGUGGUGACAGCAGUGGCAAUCCACAUGUCACUCAAGUGGCCAUGCCCUUAAUUAUGCAGAACUUUAAGGCUUAAUAUAAUUUAAAUGGAUGAGUUAUAAAUAUUCACCCCACUCACAGUUGUCAUGAAGGGCAAAAUGAGCUAUAUAGACCAAAAUCUUUUUUUGAACCAAGCUGUAUUUUUUCUGCUGUAAAGUUGGGCAUUUUAACAUGGGGAGUCUAUGGGAUUGACUCCCUUUUGCAGCCAGCCUCUAGCAGCCAGUUGACGAAUUACAGUUUAACCCCAUAAUACUCUAGGAACUGCAUAGAAAUUUGUCAUCAUUUUAGUAACUACAUAGCAACACCUUGUAACUGCUUAAUAAUGUACUUAAAGAAAAAAACUGGACAGCAACUGGACAGAAAUGCCAAAGCAAACACCUAGAGCAUCUUAGCAACUGCAUGGCAACACCUUGGGGACACGUGUUGCUCAAUGAAAACAGCCAAAAUACCCUAGCAACUGCAUAGCAACAUAUCAAGCAACAAUCAUGCACUACAAUACUACAUUAUAUGAUCUUCUGUCAGAAUCUGUCUGAAGUCAAAGGUGAGGUAUAUUAUGAUGCUCUGCAUGAGCUCCGGGUCCAAAUGCAGCGGCUGUCAUGCAGCUGAGGAGCUCAGAAAGUGUUUUUUUUUUUAACUAAAAUACAAUAACUUUUUCUCUUUUUCUCUGGCAUGUGGAGACAAGUGAUUCUCGUCUGUGCCAGAUUCAGUCUGUCUCUUGGCCAGGAUCGCCAUCUAUUAAAGCGUCUGACCUCUAUUUUGGAAAUCAACAGGCAUGAACUCGAGUGGCAUUACUCUCAAUGAGGCCAUUGUGUGUGAAAUAUGCUGUUUUCACUGAGCGAUAUGGGUGAUUCAUACACAGAAGAUGUAAAGGGAGGGUAUAUAUCUGCAGGGAAAGUACUUUCUGUUUGCUUUGAGAAUGAAAUCAUGAUAAAGUUAUGAGGAGAUUCCACAUUUUUAAUUUUGAUCCCAUCAUGAAACACUUUUUGCAUGUUUUUUCCUUUGUAUUUGUAAAAAAGACACUGAAAAGUUCAAGAUUAGACCAAUCAAAAAUAAAAAUAAAAAUAAAAUAAAAUAAAAUAAAAUAAUAAUUAUUAUUUUCAAAGAUUACACUUGCAUUUGCAUUGGGCACAAUGACCCAUACUGCAAAUGCAUUUUAUCAUGUGGCUCUUCCUAGGACAAUGACGCUUUUUACCAAUGCUUUGUUGAUGCAACACAAUUAAUCUCCAGGAUAACACAUGAUACAAAAACCCAAGAAUGUUCUCUGCUUCUCUUUACCUGACAGUAAAGUUCAAAUCUGUUGGGCAAGUUUUUUAAUUUAAUGCUACAGUAUACAAACACAUCAGAGCUUCAUAACC